AAUUAAUGAGCUUGAAAUAAGCAAAAGUUUUGAAACCUUUAGAAAGAACUUCUGAGUUCUAUUAAUUU
rnacentral:tRNA from 1 species